rnacentral:rRNA from 1 species
UAAGGAAUAUUGGUCAAUGGACGCAAGUCUGAACCAGCCAUGCCGCGUGAAGGAUGAAGGUCCUCUGGAUUGUAAACUUCUUUUAUCUGGGACGAAAACGGGAUUUUUAUCUCAAUUGACGGUACCAGAGGAAUAAGCACCGGCUAACUCCGUGCCAGCAGCCGCGGUAAUACGGAGGGUGCGAGCGUUAUCCGGAUUUACUGGGUUUAAAGGGUGCGGUGGUGGGCUUAUAAGUCAGUGGUGAAAUCUCCGAGCUUAACUUGGAAACUGCCGUUGUUACUAUAGGUCUUGAAUUAUCUGGAGGGAAGCGGAAUAUGUCAUGUAGCGGUGAAAUGCUUAGAUAUGACAUAGAACACCAAUUGCGAAGGCAGCUUACUACAUAUAAAUUGACGCUGAGGCACGAAAGCGUGGGG